AACGAACGCUGGCGGCAUGCCUAAUACAUGCAAGUCGAACGAGAUCUUCGGAUCUAGUGGCGCACGGGUGCGUAACGCGUGGGAAUCUGCCCUUGGGUUCGGAAUAACUUCUGGAAACGGAAGCUAAUACCGGCUGAUGACGUAAGUCCAAAGAUUUAUCGCCCAAGGAUGAGCCCGCGUAGGAUUAGCUAGUUGGUGGGGUAAAGGCCCACCAAGGCGACGAUCCUUAGCUGGUCUGAGAGGAUGAUCAGCCACACUGGGACUGAGACACGGCCCAGACUCCUACGGGAGGCAGCAGUAGGGAAUAUUGGACAAUGGGGGAAACCCUGAUCCAGCAAUGCCGCGUGAGUGAUGAAGGCCUUAGGGUUGUAAAGCUCUUUUACCCGGGAUGAUAAUGACAGUACCGGGAGAAUAAGCUCCGGCUAACUCCGUG
rnacentral:rRNA from 1 species